rfam:Firmicutes bacterium CAG:102 genomic scaffold, scf137
GGGUCAUUAGCUCAGUUGGUAGAGCACUGGACUUUUAAUCCAGGUGUCCCGGGUUCGAGUCCCGGAUGACUCA